CCAAAACCCGGUGUCACUGAGUACAUGAGCAUCUAAAUGAUAACAACAUCCGACUAAUAAAACACUGUCUAGAAAUAUAGAACAAUACAACAUGAAAGGAAUGGAGAAUCAAGGUCAGCGAACGCUAUGCAGCUACCUCAAUAGUCUCUUGAGUCUGACUCCUCAAUCAGCAACCAUCGUGACCAGAAGUAUCUAGAUCUGUACACGAGGUACAGGAGGUAACGUGAGUACACCAACUCAGUAAGUAAUAGAAAUAAAUAAGGAACUGAGAAGUAGUGACGAGCUAUGCAAAUACAGUUAUCUCAAUAACUUUCAAAUAAGAGUAGUCAUACUUUCAAUUUAACAGUUUAAGUCACAUCAGUACGUACUCAAUAAACCAGAUAUCAAAUUUGACUGAGCAAUAAAUAAUAUCUUUCAAUAAUUUUCAAAACGGUGAUAUGACAUCUGCGAUGCAAUAGUAAUAGAGUAAAUGUAUUUUCUUAGAAUAAUAGUUACUCUGUCCUCCCAUUCACUCCAACAUCACAAUCAUUCAUUCCUCACAUUCACUCAUUCCUCCUAGUCGCUCAGCACUUGCCACUCGCACUCACUAGGUACAUGUGCUCACUGGGGGUGUGUAUAAACUCCGGAGGGGCUCCUUUAGCCCAAGCACUAUAACAAGCCAUCUCGUGGCAUAAAUCAAUCAGGCUUUCGGCCUCACUCAAUCAUAAAUCAGUAAUAACAUGAUGCGGCGUGCAGCCCGAUCCCAUAAAUAUCCUUAUAAAAAUCAGGCCCUUGGCCUCACUUAGUCAUAAAUCUUUCCAGUCUCUCGAGCUUUCAGAGAUCAUAUAAGCAGCCCAAACAGAAAUAAUGUCAUGUAUCAACAAUGAACAACAAGAGACGGAGGCAUAAUAAGCAAGAAAAAGCUAUGAUUGAGUACAAAACAACAAUUAGAAGCUAAUUCAGCAAGUACACGACCUCGCAGUUCUCAACAGUGAUCACAUAAGGCCUAAUCAUGGUUUCUAACAUGAAGUACAGUAAAUUCCAUGAAAACAUAGGGAACAUGUAUUGAACAGUAGGACAAUUGAUUCCACAGUCUCACGGGACGGACCAAAUCACAAUCCCAAAUGGUGCACGCCCAUACGCCUGUCACCUCCAAAAUAGUCAUACGACACAAUGUUUGAGGUUUCAUACCCUCAGGACCAAAUUUAUAAUUGUUACUUACCUCAAUCCUAGCAAAAUCCUACUCUGAAAUGCUUUUGUCUCUCAAAUUGGCUUCCGAACGUCCCGAAUCUAGUCACAAUUAAUUUAUUUUAGUCAAUACAAUGUAUAGGAAUCAAUUUCGUAUGAAAUUACUAAUUUUCUAACAGAAUUCGAAAUUUAACUCAAAAAUUGCUCGUGGGGUCCACAUCUCGGAAUCCGACAAAAGUCAUAAAAUCUGACAACUCAUUCAAUUACAAGUCCAACCAUACCAAUUUUACCAAAUUCCAAUAACAAAUCGACCUCCAAAUCUUAAAUUUAAGGUAUCGAAAAUCUCUACCAAUUUCAAAUAUAGGAGCAUAUCUCGAGGUUCUACGUCUCAAAUCAUAAAUCUACAGGUGAAAAUUUUCUUUUAAAAAUCAAAAUCCAGCUCGUUUUUCAAUUAGAAAUCUCAUAUUUGAAUACCCAUGUCAAAAGAAUAAUAACUAUGUCAUAAAAUAGUUUAAUACCUUGAAUGAAAAUUAACUACAAUCGUAGUUUGUGAUUGUUGGGCAUACUGUUGCAUCAUCUGAAAACCGCGAACUGGAGGACAUUUAAUUUGCCUUGAAUCUCAAGAGAACAAGGUUGAAAAGCUUCGUAAUAGAUUCAAUGGCCUUUGGAAUACCACUUUCAAAAGUUCCCUUUAACUUUUCCCAUCAUUAUC
rnacentral:lncRNA from 1 species